GUGAGGAAUUUUCCGCAAUGGGCGAAAGCCUGACGGAGCAAUGCCGCGUGAAGGAUGAAGGCCUAUGGGUUGUAAACUUCUUUUCUCAGAAAAGAAUUAUGACGGUAUCUGAGGAAUAAGCAUCGGCUAACUCUGUGCCAGCAGCCGCGGUAAGACAGAGGAUGCAAGCGUUAUCCGGAAUGAUUGGGCGUAAAGCGUCUGUAGGUUGUUUAAAAAGUAUUCUGUCAAAGAUUAGGGCUUAACCCUAGAUAGGCAGAAUAAACUUUUAAGCUAGAGUUUGGUAGAGGCAGAGGGAAUUCCCGGUGGAGCGGUGAAAUGCGUAGAUAUCGGGAGGAACACCAAAGGCGAGGGCACUCUGCUGGGCCAAUACUAACACUGAGAGACGAAAGCGAGGGGAGCAAAUGGGAUUAGAAACCCUUGUAGUCC
rnacentral:rRNA from 1 species